CUCCCUCUUUGUCAAAAUUUUUCUACCGCAAGCCUUACUCCCUCUCCGCCGAAACCCUUACUCCCUCUCCGCCGAAACCCUUCCUCUCUGCCGAAACCUUCCGCGCUCCGCCUCCCUCUCUGCCUCUGUGCUCCGCCUUCAUCUCUAUCGUACUCCGCCUUCCUUGCUCCGCUCAUCAUUGCCCAAAGUCGCCGCAGGAUAGCUAUACCCUCAGACUCCACAAGGCCCUUAUGUUCUUCGAUGCCUAGCGAUCAAGGCUGAUUCCCAAACACAAUAAUGUAUCAUGGAGGGGGAACUCCGGCUUGAGGGAUGGCUUCUCCAAUCAUUCGUAUGGGAAGAGUCUCAUCCGUGGAUUCUACGAUGCCGGUGACGCCAUCCAAGGUCAGACCUUUUAGGAGGCAGAGGACAUGAGGAUGUGGCUAAGGCAGCGGCGGAGUUCUCAACCAGAGGUGGUGGACGAGCAUGCUAAGUGAACAGAGAAACCAGAGGAAAGUGCCAGAGAUGGAGGAGAAGAAAGAAAUGUUAGAGUUUAACAAGAGGCAUGCGGAGGGGAGGGACAAGAUCGAUAAACAGAAAAACUUUCAACUAAAGAUCUAGAAAUUGAAUCCUGUUAACACAAUUUGCUACGUUCAGAUCUUUGGAAUUGACAUGGACACACAAGAUACUUUGCCAUCAGUCUUGUUGUUUUUUGACAGACAAAGGUUCAUCUUCAAUGUUGCAGAGGUGAUAAUGAUAACAAUUAAAAAAGGAUACUUCUACUUAGAAGUUGGGGGCAUCAAGUCGAUCAGACUUUAAUUGUAAAAGAACGGAAGGAUAGACUAGUCUCAUGAAUUAGCUUGUGAGAACCGAGUGGUGUAUUAAUGUUGGGACUAUUUUAUGUAUUCCAAUGCAAGAGAGUUAGAAGAAUCAACACAUCAAUCAGAAAUCAAUGUGGACUUUGAACUACUUACACUACUUCAGAGAGGCAUAAAAGGAGAGUAAAGGCUUGCUGCUCAUAAUUUGUUUAUCUUAUCAACCUGUAACACAAAUAUUCUUAUUAGAAAGAAAAAUUAUAUGAUAUUUAUUUAUUUUAUUUUUAUAUGUCUUUAACACAAUUAUUCCUUUAGUGAUAAGUGUAUGAUAUUGAUAAUUAUAUGUGUGAUAUUUUUUUUA